AUUGAACGCUGGCGGCAGGCCUAACACAUGCAAGUCGAACGGUAACAGAAAGCAGCUUGCUGCUUUGCUGACGAGUGGCGGACGGGUGAGUAAUGUCUGGGAAACUGCCUGAUGGAGGGGGAUAACUACUGGAAACGGUAGCUAAUACCGCAUAACGUCGCAAGACCAAAGAGGGGGACCUUCGGGCCUCUUGCCAUCGGAUGUGCCCAGAUGGGAUUAGCUAGUAGGUGGGGUAACGGCUCACCUAGGCGACGAUCCCUAGCUGGUCUGAGAGGAUGACCAGCCACACUGGAACUGAGACACGGUCCAGAUUCCUACGGGAGGCAGCAGUGGGGAAUAUUGCACAAUGGGCGCAAGCCUGAUGCAGCCAUGCCGCGUGUAUGAAGAAGGCCUUCGGGUUGUAAAGUACUUUCAGCGGGGAGGAAGGGAGUAAAGUUAAUACCUUUGCUCAUUGACGUUACCCGCAGAAGAAGCACCGGCUAACUCCGUG
rnacentral:rRNA from 1 species